rnacentral:rRNA from 1 species
CCUACGGGAGGCAGCAGUGGGGGAUAUUGCACAAUGGGGGAAACCCUGAUGCAGCGACGCCGCGUGUGGGAAGACGGUCCUCUGGAUUGUAAACCACUGUCCCCAGGGACGAAGAUGACGGUACCUGGGGCGGAAGCUCCGCCUAACUACGUGCCAGCAGCCGCGGUAAUACGUAGGGAGCGAGCGUUGUCCGGAAUUACUGGGUGUAAAGGGAGCGUAGGCGGGACUGCAAGUUGGGUGUCAAAUCUACCGGCUCAACCGGUAGCCGCACUCAAAACUGCAGUUCUUGAGUGAAGUAGAGGCAGGCGGAAUUCCUAGUGUAGCGGUGAAAUGCGUAGAUAUUAGGAGGAACACCAGUGGCGAAGGCGGCCUGCUGGGCUUUUACUGACGCUGAGGCUCGAAAGUGUGGGGAGCAAACAGGAUUAGAUACCCUUGUAGUC